AAAGCACGUUCUGUAGAACAGGUAAGAAAUCAAUUACAAAACGUUUUAAUAGGUUCGAAUGACAAGUAUAGGUAUGGUUAUGGUAUUUAGCAGACGCUUUUGUCCAAAGCGACAUACAAAUAACAACAAUACAAAGUUGAACUUAACAGUAAAACGGGUCAUUCCACGAAAUCAGGCCCUUUUCAACUUUGGCAAAUUAAAAAAUAAAAUAAGUGUAAUCGAUUUGUUUUAAAUAUCCGUGAAAUGAAGACAGCUUAAAAGGACACGAAAUUGUAUUGUGCCAUCUCAGGCUAUGUAUUUUUUAUUUAUUUCAUGAGUACUUAUCUACCUCAUGUUUUGAUAUUUUUGUCAUGCCUGUUACAGACACAUGCGAGAAAAGACCAUCCAUACUGAAUAGAGGACAUUUCCACCGCAGCUGCAAGAUGUUUAAUGUAUCUGUUCAACUUUUUAUACACAGCAAAAUAGUGCAAGCAUCCCUUCUGGCCAACACUCUGUUGCAGAGCUUGGUGACCACACCCAUGACUUGGAACCCAAUGUUUUCUCUACAGACUUAUUCAGAGACACAGAAUUGAGAGCAGAGUGUCUGUCUGUCAUCCAGUCCCACACCAGACAGCCCUGAGCAUGAGGUGCAUUGUGUCAGAGGUCAAUCCGGCACUUCUUCUGUGAAAGAGGGGAUUGGAGAAGUUGGUGUCCAGCACCAGGAGGUGUCACCCCCUGUGUUCUCAACAGACCUUACCAGUGAGACCGAAUCGAGAUCAGCGUGUCAGUCAUCCAGAGCCGUGCCAAACGACUCUGCUUGUGAGUGUACAAUCCAUAAGCUGGUUUUUGAAUUGGUGAGAAUUGACAAAUGUUGGAUAUGACAUUCACCUUUGACAUCUGUCAGAUGGCACGGUGUAAGAUGCAAACGUAAGUGUGUUAUUCAUCUUCUUUUAAUUAAUGCAUUUCUCAGUAUACCAUAAGUAGUUUAAUUUCAUGCCAUGGGUCAGUUCCAGACUCACUCCUAUAAAGCAUAAAAACAUGUUUCUUGAAUGUUUUAUCAGUUCAAACCAUUGCGGUGAAAAACACUGAAGUGGCAGAUACUAUGACAUACCACGCAUAUGAGUUUGCAAGCUGAGGCUUAUAGCAGAGAACAGAGAGAAUACUGCAAAUUAGUCGCCUUUUGGCAAAAUUUACCAUUUUGGAAUCAAAAUAGGCCAUUGACGUGAAGCGAAGGAGUUGUGAAGGUGAAGUGGCACGGAUGACUGUAAAAAAUUUUGAAGAUCGUGACAUGUCCCAACUAAACGAUGACAUAAGCACUGGGCUUACAGAAGUUGAGAAGAGACUUUGCAAACAAUUCGCCAGAGUGGAACUGAGGGGGAAAAAAGGACGAAAGGUUGCUGUGAUUCUGACUUCUGAUAUGACUGCUAACCUGUCACUCCUCAUUAGUAAGAGGAAAGAGUGUGGAGUUACUGAAAACAAUAAUUACCUCUUCGCUAUUCCUUGUAGUGAUGGUCACUACAGAGGGCAGUUUGGUCAAUUUGCAAAUGCUUGUGGAGCCGAAGAUCCUCAAAACCUCAGAUCAACUAACCUUCGCAAAAAGAUUGCCACAAUAAGCCAAGUCAUGAACUUGAAAGAUAAUGAACUGGACCAGCUGGCCGAUUUUCUCGGCCAUGACAUUAGGGUGCAUAAGGAGUACUAUCGACUGCUCCAAUCAACAAUUCAGCUGGCUAAGAUCUCAAAGCUGCUUAUGGCUAUGGAGAAGGGAAGUGUGAAGGAUAUUCAAGGAUAAUCUCUGGACGAAAUUGGUGGUAUGCAUCAUUUACAUGUUGUUAAAUGUACUUGGUGUAUAUGUAUAUGGUUGGUGUAAUAACAUUUAAUAACAUUUUUACAAUGUCAUUUAAUAGAUGACAUAGACGAUAUGGAUACUGGAUCACAGCAACUCCCUAAUGUUUCCACAUUGCAAGGUACUGUUAAAAUUGGCUCCCAAGGCUACUGAAAUUGUUGUAUUCUGUGUUGCCGAUUUUGCAGUUGUAUUGGUGAAAUAUUUA